AUGCUGCGCUUAAGUUGGCUUGGGCUUCAAUCAGUUUUCCCAGUUCUAUGCAAUUCUCAAAAUUCUUAUUGAUUCCAUGUAAUAUCACAAGUGUUGACCAUUUUAAUGUCAGAUAUGCAGUUAAAGCGGUAUUCAGACUAGAAAGUGAUCAACAUAAGUAACGUUAACAUAUAUAAUAUUUUCUGAUACAAUAGUACAAGGUUAUGUCAUAUGAUGUAAUGUUAAUCUUACGUAGGAACAACAUUUUUAUGCCAAGUAGCUUGUUCUGCAAUAACACUUGUCAUAUGCUUCACGGUGGCUUCCGGUUGCUUUGCCAAUAACUUUUUAAUGACAUUUUUCACGUAAGAUUGGGAAGCUGUAUCUUUAUAUCGAUGCAAAGUAAGAGAUAGAACUUUGCAAAUACCACAGACGAUUUUGUCAUUAAUACCUGAAACAAACGACACGAUAUAACGAGGAUAAAUGAUAAUGGAUUUGACAACACAUCGACGACAUUUUGUAAAAUCUCACGCCGCUCCUUUUUGCUGGCGGUUUGAAUUCGAUUAGUAUUCCACGUGACAGACUUACCUCGACAUCCGCCAUAUUUCUUCAAAAACCGGACUGACUAUCAGCGCCACGUUUCCUUAAUUUGUAAUCACGCGUUAGAUGAAGUUGUCUACAUAUGUACGUAUGCAUUGACGAGAUCAUCGAUUCGUUCAUUUAAAAUAAAUACGAAGUCUCGUUUAUUCGCGAGUAUUGAAAAAUUGAAAAAAAAAAAGAAAAGAAAAAAUGAAAGUAAGAAAAAAAGAAAGGGAAGAAAAAAAAAGAAAAUAAGAAAAAGGAGAAGAAGAAGAAAAAAAGAAAAAAGAAAAAGAAAGGAAGAAUGAAAAACGAAAAUCAAAAGUCAAAAUUCAAACAUUGGUUAUCCAUCGUAUCGUAUACACGUAUUCGAAUAAAUUUGAACAUUACUCACGGAUGAUAAACAAAAAUCGAUUCUACGGUCGAUACGUUAUAAUUAACGAAGAAUUAAAUAAGAAAAAAAAAAAAGAAGAUCGAUAGAUCAGGAACUCAGUAUGAAAAGUUGCCAGAAACGGCGAAGCUCCAGAAAAGAGAUUGCACGCAUUUUGUCUUUAAUCAAUGUAAAUCGAUGGAGGAUGGUAUGGGGGUUGUUGGGGAUGUUGAAAAGUAAAAAAAAAAAAAGGAGAAAAUAAAUCAAUAAAUAAAAGUAAGAGAAAAGAAAAAAAAAAUUGAAAAAAAAUGAGAAAAAAA